CGAGGCUUGCGAAAUAAGUGUGC
rnacentral:miRNA from 1 species